UCCCACUGAACGGAAAAAGUCCACUUCGGUUUUUCCGCGAAGCUCCAAAAAUCCAUGAAAUGUGUUUGCAUGUUCCUCUCUGCAAGCGGGGAUGUAGAGGUGGGAUCGCGAGGACCGAGGAAGCUGGGGGGAACCCACGCGCUCAGCCUCACAGAAAGCUGAGAGACGGAGCGCUCGGGCUGUGGGAGCCUUUCCGUCCCCCCCCCCCACCCCCUCACCCCCUCCAACCCCCCCUGCUCGGAUAUCUGCUUCGGUAGCUUCCGGACGGCCCAUGGAACCACGUGGAUGAGGGCUGAGCUGUAGAGCGGGCAGAAGCCUGCCUGUCGUCGGCCCGGGGCCCGUCGCGCCACCGAGGUCAAGCGCCAAUCGCAGAAAACGGACCGAGACGAGGUCUUUGCUCCCACUCCUCGCUCACCCCCGCCCCCCUUUCCACCCUCCCCCUCCCACCCCCCCCCC
ensembl:lncRNA